GGGCCCGCACAAGCGGUGGAGUAUGUGGUUUAAUUCGAUGCAACGCGAAGAACCUUACCAGGGUUUGACAUCCUGCGAAUCUCUUGGAAACAGGAGAGUGCCUUCGGGAACGCAGUGACAGGUGGUGCAUGGCUGUCGUCAGCUCGUGUCGUGAGAUGUUGGGUUAAGUCCCGCAACGAGCGCAACCCACGUCUUUAGUUGCCAGCAUUUAGUUGGGCACUCUAGAGAGACUGCCGGUGAUAAACCGGAGGAAGGUGUGGAUGACGUCAAGUCAUCAUGCCCCUUACAUCCUGGGCUACACACGUACUACAAUGCUACGGACAAAGAGCAGCAAGUUCGCGAGAGCUAGCAAAUCCCAUAAACCGUGGCUCAGUUCAGAUCGUAGGCUGCAACUCGCCUACGUGAAGGAGGAAUCGCUAGUAAUCGCAGGUC
rnacentral:rRNA from 1 species